CUCUGAGGAACGAGUUGGGAAACAUUGCUCAAGAUGGUCUUUUAGAUUAUGCUGGUUGCUGGUAGGUCUUCUCCACCUAGGAACUGCCCUCUCCACCCACAAGAAGUGAUGACUGGAUAUAGAGCCAGGCUCCAAUCACCCAACCCUGAAUAAGAAGUUGGAUGGAUGGAUGGAUGGAUGGAUGGAUGGAUGGAUGGUCUGUCACGGGGGAGCGGAGAUCCACAGCUCUGAAAGCGACGUGGCAGCAGAUUGGCACUCCUGUGUCGAGCGUUAGGAAGUGAACAGACGCGAGGGCCCACUGGACCGGGGGUCUGUGUUGGUGACUCUGAUGUCAUGAGAUGGAAGGCCGUCAUUUACAUCCACGCCUCAGCCAAAAAACAAUUUUAAAAUUUACAAACGAUAAUAAUGGAAUCCUUAGUAUUAUUAUGACUCUCUUCCUGUGCACAGACAUGACAGGGAAUAGUGCAUAAUGUUUAGAAGUACCUUUGAAUGUCUGUCCCUUAGAUAAAUGCUCUAAGUAGCUUUCACAAAAAAAAAUACUCUGGCUCACUGAUUAUAGCAGUUUUUUUAUUACAAAAUAUAAGAGCAUCAGUCUCAUGAAAACAUGCUGCAAAGGGAAAUUUGUCACCGGCAGCUAGUUAACUCACCCGGCCGACUUUCUCCCGGAAGUGGGGCUCACAGGAGACAUUUUGUCUCCACCCGCCCCCCCCCCCCCCCUUUGUAAUUGCAAAUUAAUGAAAGUCUCCGCGCACAAUAGACGACGCCCGAAAAAAUGAGCAAUUUACAUACAAAAUUAGACGGGUGCGCUUGGAAAUGUCAAAGUACGCCCCAGACGUUUUUAAUGACUUGCAAAGGACACGGCGAAGAAGACGCAGCCUCCAUCGCUUUCUGGGUAACGGCAAAGAUGCCUUUUAAUAUUCACCAGGAACCGCAAAAAUUCAUUACAGCGUAUUUUGAGAACAUCUUCUGCUAUCCAAGCAACAGAGGAAUAAGACACUAUUAAAUUCUGAUAUAAAAUCCUGUGAUAUCAUAUGUUCCU